AUUUUAAAUCUAUCCUAAAUAUAAAAUACUACUUCCUAAUACACAAAACAUUAUUAUAUAAUAGUAUGGGCGACAGAAAAUUUAUUAGCGCAAUAGAAAAAGUACUGUAAAGGAAAGAUGAAAUAAAAAUGAAAUAAAACAAAGAUAUAAAAAAGCAAAGACUACAACUUUUACCUUUAGCAUAAUGAUCUAGCCAGUCUAUAUUAACAUAAAGAAUUUUAGUUAUAUACCCCGAAACCAGACGAUCUACCCUAAGGCAGCAAUAUAUGAGCAAACUCUUCUCUGUAGCAAAAGAGUGAGAAGAACUUUUGGUAGAGGCGAAAAACCAAACGAGCCUGGAUAUAGCUGGUUACUUGAGAAUGAAUUUUAGUUCAACUAAAAGCAUAAAUAUUUUAAAAACAAGCGCUUUUAUUAUAAUUAAUUGAGGUACAGCCCAAUUAAUAAAGGAAACAACCUA
rnacentral:rRNA from 1 species